AUGGAGGUGGUGAAUGCGUUGAGCCAAGGCUACUCAUCUUUAGUCGCUUCAUCCAUUAUAGAUUACUGUUACUUUAUGUCAUUAGGUUUUCCCCAUGUCAUUUAUGAUCAUUGUAAUAGGGAAAGUAAUCGAGUAGCUCAUGAACUAGCAAGGUUGGCUAGGUUUUCUUAUCCGAGUGUUUGGAUGGAUAACGCCCCUGAUGAGGUUAUCCUUUUACUUGUAAAUGAUGCUACUUUACUUAUGAAUGAAUAA
rnacentral:rRNA from 1 species